GCCGGUAUAGCUCAGGGGUAGAGCAACCGCCUUGUAAGCGGUAGGUCGGGGGUUCAAUUCCCUCUACCGGCACCA
rnacentral:tRNA from 1 species